CCAACGCCUCCUUUCUUUUUCCCCUUCAUCUCCAAUGCCCAGAUCUAAUAAAGAUCAGAUCUAAGAGUGAAGAAGAGAGAAAAAAAGAGAAGAAGAAAAGUCCUUCUUUCCUUCUUGGUGAUCUGAUUCAUAUCCCAACAGAUCUGCACGAAAGAGUUCGUGCAGCGAUCUUCUUCUUCAAGAUCUAGAAAAAGAGAUGCAGAUCCAAGACUGAGGAGC
rnacentral:lncRNA from 1 species